AUGGACACCAAGUUGUCAGAGCAAGCAACCCGACUGGAUCAGGUACAAGUGAAAGUCAAUUUGUCCCAUGCCGCGCAGUUGGGCAAGCAAAAAAUAUGCAGGGUAGUGGGAAGAGUUCCUCGCCGGCUAUUUCCAAGGUUUCCGAUGGAACACCGGGUGCCAAUUCUCUGGCUCAGGCUUGCGCACAACCACGUUUUCCUCAGGUGCACAUUUAGAUACCGCAUGCGGGCCAAGUUGCUUCAGUUGUUGGGGAGGACACUGCUGGGAAAUGCACUUGGAUGCCUAAGAUGGAUUUUUUCGCGCUUUGAUGGCACUGCUGUGAGGAUUUGGCUUGACAAGUGUGAAGCAUUUUUAGCUGUAUCACAUUCCUAA
rnacentral:rRNA from 1 species